CUUGUCAGAGAGCAUUUAAUUUGAAUCAGUUGUGUUGCAGCAGGGAGACAUCUAAGACCUGCAGGAUGGUGGGCCUUGAAGACCAGGGCUGGGAAUCACUGAACUCUAGCUUCUG